rnacentral:rRNA from 1 species
UACGAAGGGGGCUAGCGUUGUUCGGAAUUACUGGGCGUAAAGCGCAUGUAGGCGGCGAUUCAAGUCGGGGGUGAAAUCCUGAGGCUCAACCUCAGAACUGCCUUCGAUACUGUAUCGCUCGAGUAUGGAAGAGGUAGGUGGAACUGCGAGUGUAGAGGUGAAAUUCGUAGAUAUUCGCAAGAACACCAGUGGCGAAGGCGGCCUACUGGUCCAUCACUGACGCUGAGAUGCGAAAAGCGUGGGGAGCAAACAGG